UCCAAAGCGCCAAAUUGGGCCAAGCCCAACAGCCUACUCACUCUCCUCCGCAUCAGACGACAACGACGGCGAGAUCUGAGGGACGCAGCCGCAGACGACGGCGCGAUCCAGAGAGAGGGGCUAUGGCGCCGCGCGUCUCCGCGACGGAGGCCAGUGGCAGUCAAGACCCCCUGCUCACGCGGCUCUCCAAGGAAGUCGUCCUCCACUGCCUCCCGAAGCUGGGGGCCAACGAGCUCCGACGGCCCGGAUCAAGACCUCUCCCCAGUCUACUCGUCGCGGCGGCGCAGAAUGGGAAGCCUUUGCUGCGAAAAAAUGAAGGAGGGUAGAAUGUUGAAUUGGAAUAUGGUACUGAAGAUCCUCUUUGCACCCUUCAAGAAGGAAUCAAUCAAGAAACCUAUGGGCUUAAUACAAUUUCGUCCAACCAAUAGGGGUAGAGAAAGGUGGAGGGCGUGGCACAUCGGUUGUGAUCAUGUUGUCCUUCCCAUGCCGACAACUCGUGGAGAAACGGAGUGUGAAAUGGUACAGUCGCCGGCGUCCAACCACUCGGUGUUUGCUGCAUCCAGUGCAAUUAUGGACAUGGAAGGUUCCUAUUCAAAUCUUAUAGAGUGUUCCUACUGAGUUUGAAUUUAUUGCUUGUUCAGAUACCCUACUUGCAAAUUUCGUCUAUGUAAAACUACUUAUGUAUGUUUUUUGCAUGGGCGGUAUAAGAACAAUGUGGCAAUGGUGCGGAGCUACUCAAAGGAAGUCUGCUUAUGUCUUCAAAUAUGCACAUCUUACUUCUGUCAUUUUUUUUUGUUUUCUUUCCUGUUAGUUUAGUAAGUUAUCUCUGCUUAUCAAUUUACGCUGUUAACUGGGAACCAAGAGAAAAAUGAUAAGCAGUUAAUUGUCUUUUUUUUCUCAGUCCAGGUCGAUUUUUAUUUAAGAGCUACUUCAUGUGCAAAGUAAGCUAUAAUAUUUAAUUACAUAUUCUGGUAUUAAAAACAAUAGGUUGGUAAAAUGGCAGGAGCAUGAUGUCCAUAAAGGGGAGAUAUAGUCAAUAGCUUUUUUCAUUUGCAAACUGCACAUGAUCAUAUAGUCAAAGCUCAAUUCGUUGAACUAUUUGGGCGUGCCUUGUGCACUCAAUUGUGGUGGGAAUCUAAGGCGUGAGAUGGUCAGGGUUCUCGCUGCACUUAUUGGAUUUUCCCAAUCAUACCUAUUGUUUGGGUCUGUUAUUUCUGGAGAUUGAUUUCUUGGUUUUCUAUAAUUAGGAGGAACUGCUAUUGGCAAAGAGAGAGAGGUGACCCCCUUAGUUUCCCCAUUCAACUGUCGACGGCUUUAGAUGCGGUAACAUUGGUUUAUUGGGUCGACUGCUAUACACCAAAUUAUUGGGUCAAGGAGAUGCUCCCCGGUCGAUCUACGGUGGCAAGCGGCCAGCGGCGCAUACCUCCUCCGGCAGGAGGAACGUGACCCCGUCCUGCAGUUCCUCUUGAUUCUUUACCGGAAGGUCGGGGCGUUGCAACUGGAGGUCGCCAUGAACCAUAAGAACUCCCUCCAGCUCCUCCUUGGUCGCCGCUGCCUUGAGCCCGACGUCCCCUUGGCAUCUCCACGACGGCCGAUGGCGCUGUGUCGUCUCGCGGUCUCCACCUACGACCUUCGCUACCUCUCACGGAUCUGGGGAGAGACACAUCACAUCGCAAGCUCGGGGAGUUCGAUGUCGCGCCAAGUGGACGUGGGCAUGGUGGACCAGCAACUUGCCGUGAUCGACGCCUUCUUCGCCACAAACCGAGAUGCCCGUGCACAACGACGACGGGAGUAUCAGGGGCUCGGGGCCUUCUCCAAGGAAGAGGCCAUGGCCUCCAACGGGGUUAUUAUGUUUAGCAAGGCCUCCAUCCCUGAUUGGGAAAUCCAUGCUGUGGUUCCUCUUCCACUGUCCACUACGAAGUGGAGCCUGUUUUCUUCGACAAGGGAAUCUUGGGAUUUGAAAAGCAACAUCGAGAGGAAUGAAGCAGCUACCAGGAAGAAAGAAGAGUGAAAUGCAUGUUUUGAGUAUUUAAGAUGGCAAUUCUGCCUAGGCUUUCAAGAGAUAUGAAAAGCAUUCUUGUUGCAGAAUGUUGAGUGAAUUCAGUCUGUAGACCAAGCAUGCAACAUCUAAAUUCCCUUCCUAUAUCUAUACAAGCUGAGGGCAUCAAGAGACAAGGAUGAUGCUUCUUUUUGUGUCUAGACUAGAUGACACAUGGCAAAUCACAAGAUUCACCUAGAACAGUUUUGCCUCCUCCGUAUAAACACGUGCGGGUUUUCUGACAAAAUGCCCCUACAGGCUGAAGGACAAGUGGCGUAACUUGAGUGUCACAGCUGGAGGAUGUGGCUCAAGAGAAAUCGUGUGCCUAAGGUUGUCACCGAACCAAUGGAUGACGAUACAAGCAAUCUGGACAAUGCCCCGACUACAGUGAUCGAUGCCAAACCACUGGCAAUGGUUGUUGAACCCAAGCAGGUUGAGUGCAGUCCAGGGAAGUCAGUUGCUAGGUUAGUGAAUAAAUAUGUUUCUGAACUUGUUUCAUAUUAAUUUUAUAAUUAACCUACAUGUUUCUUGAUUUUUCAAAAAUUUCCAUCAAUGUAAAUUUCUGCGUGUUUGACACGCAGGCAUUUAGGUUAGUAAUUUGAUUGGAAUGUGAAUUCUAUGCAUACCGUUUUAGGACUGCUGACAUGUAACCUGUCUUUGAGAUAACUCGUCUAGGGCUUCGCAUAUGAACACUUGUUGAGAAUUAAGAUAGAUAUUUGUAUCAUAUGAUUUUCCUGACAACUCAAUUUAAUGAUAGGGACUUUUUCUUGACUAGGUUACUUAAGAGAAGGUUAUUAUGUCCUAUUAUUACUAAAUUUAAACUGGAGUCAGUAAGCAUAAGAGAAUAACCUGUCACAGUCACAAACACACACGCAUCCACUGGCAGCGGGACUGAGCCGAGCCGAGUCUGCAACAUCAGCCAUAUAGAUCAAAUCACUGGUUUGAUUACUACUCAAGCCUAAUUCUCCAUCCCAUGAAUCCUAGCUGAGGCCAUUACACCAUAGGUUAUGCUGGAUAUUACAAUUAUGUGUACCAAAAUUUUCAGACAUUUUUGUGACUUUUGGUAGUGGAUUGAAAGUCAGUACGAUAUUUUGCACAAUGAAAUAAUAUUAGAAAAAGGCUACCAGUCUAUUGUUGAGAAGAAAAAUCAGGCCUACUACUUUUUUUGCAACUAAUAAUACUAAGUUUGUUCAUAGUUGUAGCUUGCCAAUCCUAUUGAGGAGAUA